AGAGUUUGAUCCUGGCUCAGAUUGAACGCUGGCGGCAGGCCUAACACAUGCAAGUCGAACGGUAACAGGAAACAGCUUGCUGUUUCGCUGACGAGUGGCGGACGGGUGAGUAAUGUCUGGGAAACUGCCUGAUGGAGGGGGAUAACUACUGGAAACGGUAGCUAAUACCGCAUAACGUCGCAAGACCUAAGAGGGGGACCCUCGGGCCUCUUGCCAUCGGAUGUGCCCAGAUGGGAUUAGCUUGUUGGUGGGGUGACGGCUCACCAAGGCGACGAUCCCUAGCUGGUCUGAGAGGAUGACCAGCCACACUGGAACUGAGACACGGUCCAGACUCCUACGGGAGGCAGCAGUGGGGAAUAUUGCACAAUGGGCGCAAGCCUGAUGCAGCCAUGCCGCGUGUAUGAAGAAGGCCUUCGGGUUGUAAAGUACUUUCAGCGGGGAGGAAGGGAGUAAAGUUAAUACCUUUGCUCAUUGACGUUACCCGCAGAAGAAGCACCGGCUAACUCCGUGCCAGCAGCCGCGGUAAUACGGAGGGUGCAAGCGUUAAUCGGAAUUACUGGGCGUAAAGCGCACGCAGGCGGUUUGUUAAGUCAGAUGUGAAAUCCCCGGGCUCAACCUGGGAACUGCAUCUGAUACUGGCAAGCUUGAGUCUCGUAGAGGGGGGUAGAAUUCCAGGUGUAGCGGUGAAAUGCGUAGA
rnacentral:rRNA from 1 species